rnacentral:lncRNA from 1 species
AGAGGAAUAGAUUGUGAACUGUGGACUUUAAAAGGCUUUGAUUCUUAUUCUCGAUCCCAGACAGGCUUCAGGACAUGUGUGGGCUACCUGCAUCUCAUCUGCAUAUGGUGAUGAUAUUAUGCUAUCCACAGGCUCCUUGACCUGGGACUUGCUAAUCAUACAUCUAGUGCUAGGUAGAACCCCAUACAGGCUCUAGAGUGCCCUGUGCCUUCCUAGACCUGUAGCUUACAGCAGUGCUGGCUCUGCUUCUGCCAUCAACAGCGACAAUCACAGAACAAUUACUUUAUCUGGAAAACACACCCCAUUCAAACAACCCUACAAGAUAUUCAGUGAUCAUUGAGUAUCUGCUGUAUGAAGAAAACUGUAAUUAUUGGCCUUGGACUUCAUUUGGAUGUUCACACAGCCCUAGUCAGACAGUGCUUUGACAUUUUUUCUCCUGGACUGCCUGGGAAGCACUGUAAGCAUUGC